GGGAAUAUAGUUAUAUUAUAACAUUUGAUUUGCAUUCAAAAAGUAUUGUACAUCAAUUUUUCUCA
rnacentral:tRNA from 1 species